UCCCCAUCUUCACCUCCAAGGGUUGUCCCUUGAGGAGCUCAGCUGAAGGAGCUCAGUUUUGUGAAAUACUGUAGGAGGAAAAUUAACUUCCCACCACACCUCCGUUUCUUAUAUUCUUAAAACUUCCAAGCCUGAUUCACUGGUGUAUGACUUCAGUUUCAAGUGAUUCUACAAUGGAUGUGCACAGGAGAAAGUGCCGCUGAAGCAGCACCAUGGAGGAUCAGACCCAUUAUCUUG